AACGCGAAGAACCUUACCUGGGCUCGAACGACUGGAAGUAAACUCUAUGAAAGUUGAGUUGACCUGUAAAGUCAGAAACCAGCCGAGGUGCUGCAUGGUUGUCGUCAGCUCGUGUCGUGAGAUGUUGGGUUAAGUCCCGCAACGAGCGCAACCCCCAUCUCCUGUUGCUAAUCCGCAAGGAUGCACUCUGGAGAAACUGCCCACGAUGAGUGGGAGGAAGGUGGGGACGACGUCAAAUCCCCAUGGCCCUUAUGUCCAGGGCUACACACGUACUACAAUGGCCGAUACAAUGGGCUGCAAUACCGCAAGGUGGAGCUAAUCCCUAAAAUCGGCCCCAGUUCAGAUUGUGGGCUGAAAUUCGUCCACAUGAAGGUGGAAUCGCUAGUAAUCGCGAAUCAGAAGGUCGCGGUGAAUACGUUCCCGGGCCUUGUACACACCGUACGUC
rnacentral:rRNA from 1 species